rnacentral:rRNA from 1 species
AGCAGCCGCGGUAAUUCCAGCUCCAAUAGCGUAUAUUAAAGUUGUUGCAGUUAAAAAGCUCGUAGUUGAAUUUCGGGAUCAGUACGUCGGUCGUGCCUUCGGUAUGCACUGGUGUCACUGGUUCCUCCCUUCUGACGAACCGUCAUGCCAUUAAUUUGGUGUGGCGGGAAAUCAGGACUGUUACUUUGAAAAAAUUAGAGUGUUUAAAGCAGGCUCACGCUUGAAUACAUUAGCAUGGAAUAAUGAAAUAGGACGUUGAUCUUAUUUUGUUGGUUUCUAGGUAUUGACGUAAUGAUUAAUAGGGAUAGUUGGGGGCAUUAGUACUCAAUUGUCAGAGGUGAAAUUCUUAGGAUUUAUUGAAGUACUAACUACUGCGAAAGCAUUUGCCAAGGAUGUUUUCAUUAAUCAAGAACGAAAGUUAGGGGAUCGGAAGACGAUCAGAUACCGUCGUAGUCUUAACCAUAAACUAUGCCGACUAGGGAUCGGGAUGAUGUUAAUUUUUUAAUGUACUCAUUCGGCGUACCG